GGGCCCGCACAAGCGGUGGAGUAUGUGGUUUAAUUCGAUGCAACGCGAAGAACCUUACCAGGGUUUGACAUCCUGCGAAUCUCUUGGAAACAGGAGAGUGCCUUCGGGAACGCAGUGACAGGUGGUGCAUGGCUGUCGUCAGCUCGUGUCGUGAGAUGUUGGGUUAAGUCCCGUAACGAGCGCAACCCUUGUCCUUAGUUGCCAGCACUUCGGGUGGGAACUCUAGAGAGACUGCCGGUGAUAAACCGGAGGAAGGUGUGGAUGACGUCAAGUCAUCAUGCCCCUUACAUCCUGGGCUACACACGUACUACAAUGCUACGGACAAAGGGCAGCAAGUUCGCGAGGACAAG
rnacentral:rRNA from 1 species